AUCAUGGACACGAUUAUGACAGCAUACCGCCUGGCUGGCAGGCCAGUGCUGGGAUUUGUGGUGGCACAUUCAACACGAGGUGUGGCUGGGCUCUACUGAGGUGUGCUGAUAUCGGUGCUGUGGCCAGCUGGGUUUCCUCUUGCAUCUUUGCUAGGUACUAUCCGGUAAAUGUGGCACCUCCCUCUGCGGUUGGUUCAGCGGUCCAGGGCGUCGCCUCCCCUUCCCGGGGACUGUGCAGGGACCCCACUUCCACAUAGAUGGCCCCUGCAUUUCGGUCUCACGCUGGAACUAAAUCUGAUUCCUGGUUCGAAUCAACCCAAGAUGAUGAACCAUGAAGACGGUACAGAGUGCAUGACAAAGUGGCCCAGAGGAUGCCAGCUGUUCUCAACCCUUGCUGUACAUUUCCCCACUCUUCCAAGAGCUCACUGAGUUUUGAAUUAAAACCCUCUAGUGAGGGGUGAGAAGAGCUGACAAAUCAGAACUGAGGAGGAUUGUUACAGAGCCCCACGAGGAACACAUGAUGCUGCGCUGACUUCUCUCUCCUGGGUGCACUCCUGCCCAAACUGUCCCGUUGUGUUUCACCACCUCUGAAUACCCUUGAUUUGCCCCUGAUUUUGAACUCCAUCUCCUCUCACUUUGUCUCUCGCUCCGCCACACCCCCCACACACAGGCACACAAUAUAAUUAGUGUUGUAAUGAUGCUCUUAUUUGGUUACAUAUGUGUUAACUGUUGUUAUUUCUAUUGUAAACUCUGUUGUUAAUGUUAUCAAUUUGAAUGAAUGUAUUUCAUGUACAAAUGUAUUGUUUAUCUGACAUUUAGAUUUCUGGGAGAAUUUCACUGUAAAUUUA
ensembl:lncRNA